UGGGGAAUUUUUGGCAAUGGGGGAAACCCUGACCAAGCAACGCCGCGUGGAUGAUGAAGUAUCUCGGUACGUAAAAUCCUUUCGACAGGGACGAAACCCGCAAGGGUUGACGGUACCUGUAGAAGAAGCCCCGGCUAACUCCGUGCCAGCAGCCGCGGUAAUACGGGGGGGGCAAGCGUUGUUCGGAAUUACUGGGCGUAAAGGGCGCGUAGGCGGUUCGCUAAGUUGGACGUGAAAACUCUGGGCUUAACCCAGAGCCUGCAUCCAAAACUGGCAGGCUAGAGUAUUGGAGGGGGAAGCGGAAUUCCUGGUGUAGCAGUGAAAUGCGUAGAUAUCAGGAGGAACACCGGUGGCGAAGGCGGCUUCCUGGACAAUAACUGACGCUGAGGCGCGAAAGCUAGGGGAGCAAACAGGAUUAGAUACCCCCGUAGUCC
rnacentral:rRNA from 1 species